rnacentral:rRNA from 1 species
AUUGAACGCUGGCGGCAUGCUUUACACAUGCAAGUCGAACGGUAACAGGCCGCAAGGUGCUGACGAGUGGCGAACGGGUGAGUAAUGCAUCGGAACGUGCCCAGUCGUGGGGGAUAACUACUCGAAAGAGUAGCUAAUACCGCAUACGAUCUAUGGAUGAAAGCGGGGGACCGUAAGGCCUCGCGCGAUUGGAGCGGCCGAUGUCAGAUUAGGUAGUUGGUGGGGUAAAGGCUCACCAAGCCAACAAUCUGUAGCUGGUCUGAGAGGACGACCAGCCACACUGGGACUGAGACACGGCCCAGACUCCUACGGGAGGCAGCAGUGGGGAAUUUUGGACAAUGGGCGCAAGCCUGAUCCAGCAAUGCCGCGUGCAGGAAGAAGGCCUUCGGGUUGUAAACUGCUUUUGUACGGAACGAAACGGCUCUGGUUAAUACCCGGGGCUAAUGACGGUACCGUAAGAAUAAGCACCGGCUAACUACGUG